rnacentral:rRNA from 1 species
AUCCUGUCUGAAUAUGGGGGGACCAUCCUCCAAGGCUAAAUACUCCUGACUGACCGAUAGUGAACCAGUACCGUGAGGGAAAGGCGAAAAGAACCCCGGCGAGGGGAGUGAAAAAGAACCUGAAACCGUGUACGUACAAGCAGUGGGAGCACGCUUAGGCGUGUGACUGCGUACCUUUUGUAUAAUGGGUCAGCGACUUAUAUUCUGUAGCAAGGUUAACCGAAUAGGGGAGCCGAAGGGAAACCGAGUCUUAACUGGGCGUUAAGUUGCAGGGUAUAGACCCGAAACCCGGUGAUCUAGCCAUGGGCAGGUUGAAGGUUGGGUAACACUAACUGGAGGACCGAACCGACUAAUGUUGAAAAAUUAGCGGAUGACUUGUGGCUGGGGGUGAAAGGCCAAUCAAACCGGGAGAUAGCUGGUUCUCCCCGAAAGCUAUUUAGGUAGCGCCUCGUGAAUUCAUCUCCGGGGGUAGAGCACUGUUUCGGCAAGGGGGUCAUCCCGACUUACCAACCCGAUGCAAACUGCGAAUACCGGAGAAUGUUAUCACGGGAGACACACGGCGGGUGCUAACGUCCGUCGUGAAGAGGGAAACAACCCAGACCGCCAGCUAAGGUCCCAAAGUCAUGGUUAAGUGGGAAACGAUGUGGGAAGGCCCAGACAGCCAGGAUGUUGGCUUAGAAGCAGCCAUCAUUUAAAGAAAGCGUAAUAGCUCACUGGUCGAGUCGGCCUGCGCGGAAGAUGUAACGGGGCUAAACCAUGCACCGAAGCUGCGGCAGCGACGCUUAUGCGUUGUUGGGUAGGGGAGCGUUCUGUAAGCCUGUGAAGGUGUGCUGUGAGGCAUGCUGGAGGUAUCAGAAGUGCGAAUGCUGACAUAAGUAACGAUAAAGCGGGUGAAAAGCCCGCUCGCCGGAAGACCAAGGGUUCCUGUCCAACGUUAAUCGGGGCAGGGUGAGUCGACCCCUAAGGCGAGGCCGAAAGGCGUAGUCGAUGGGAAACAGGUUAAUAUUCCUGUACUUGGUGUUACUGCGAAGGGGGGACGGAGAAGGCUAUGUUGGCCGGGCGACGGUUGUCCCGGUUUAAGCGUGUAGGCUGGUUUUCCAGGCAAAUCCGGAAAAUCAAGGCUGAGGCGUGAUGACGAGGCACUACGGUGCUGAAGCAACAAAUGCCCUGCUUCCAGGAAAAGCCUCUAAGCAUCAGGUAACAUCAAAUCGUACCCCAAACCGACACAGGUGGUCAGGUAGAGAAUACCAAGGCGCUUGAGAGAACUCGGGUGAAGGAACUAGGCAAAAUGGUGCCGUAACUUCGGGAGAAGGCACGCUGAUAUGUAGGUGAAGCGACUUGCUCGUGGAGCUGAAAUCAGUCGAAGAUACCAGCUGGCUGCAACUGUUUAUUAAAAACACAGCACUGUGCAAACACGAAAGUGGACGUAUACGGUGUGACGCCUGCCCGGUGCCGGAAGGUUAAUUGAUGGGGUCAGCGCAAGCGAAGCUCUUGAUCGAAGCCCCGGUAAACGGCGGCCGUAACUAUAACGGUCCUAAGGUAGCGAAAUUCCUUGUCGGGUAAGUUCCGACCUGCACGAAUGGCGUAAUGAUGGCCAGGCUGUCUCCACCCGAGACUCAGUGAAAUUGAACUCGCUGUGAAGAUGCAGUGUACCCGCGGCAAGACGGAAAGACCCCGUGAACCUUUACUAUAGCUUGACACUGAACAUUGAGCCUUGAUGUGUAGGAUAGGUGGGAGGCUUUGAAGUGUGGACGCCAGUCUGCAUGGAGCCGACCUUGAAAUACCACCCUUUAAUGUUUGAUGUUCUAACGUUGACCCGUAAUCCGGGUUGCGGACAGUGUCUGGUGGGUAGUUUGACUGGGGCGGUCUCCUCCUAAAGAGUAACGGAGGAGCACGAAGGUUGGCUAAUCCUGGUCGGACAUCAGGAGGUUAGUGCAAUGGCAUAAGCCAGCUUGACUGCGAGCGUGACGGCGCGAGCAGGUGCGAAAGCAGGUCAUAGUGAUCCGGUGGUUCUGAAUGGAAGGGCCAUCGCUCAACGGAUAAAAGGUACUCCGGGGAUAACAGGCUGAUACCGCCCAAGAGUUCAUAUCGACGGCGGUGUUUGGCACCUCGAUGUCGGCUCAUCACAUCCUGGGGCUGAAGUAGGUCCCAAGGGUAUGGCUGUUCGCCAUUUAAAGUGGUACGCGAGCUGGGUUUAGAACGUCGUGAGACAGUUCGGUCCCUAUCUGCCGUGGGCGCUGGAGAACUGAGGGGGGCUGCUCCUAGUACGAGAGGACCGGAGUGGACGCAUCACUGGUGUUCGGGUUGUCAUGCCAAUGGCACUGCCCGGUAGCUAAAUGCGGAAGAGAUAAGUGCUGAAAGCAUCUAAGCACGAAACUUGCCCCGAGAUGAGUUCUCCCUGACCCUUUAAGGGUCCUGAAGGAACGUUGAAGACGACGACGUUGAUAGGCCGGGUGUGUAAGCGCAGCGAUGCGUUGAGCUAACCGGUACUAAUGAACCGUGAGGCUUAACCUU